CUGGUGGACUUUAAGAGGGGUCUGGAUGAUCAAGGAGUUAUCUGAGGAUAGUUGAAUCCCACUGCAGAGAGAAGACAGGCAUUGGAUAUUUGGUGGACUUUCUGUGUGACUUUUCCUGUGCAUGAUUGAUUGUGGCUGGAUGCACAGGAACUUGAUUGAUAAAGGGAGAUGCACCUAAAACCUUCUUUAUCAGGAGUCACCCCUUUCCACCUAUGGAAUACAUAUGGUUCAAUUGCAGAGAGAGAGGCACAUACAGU